GAGAAAUUGAGAAGAUUGUUUAAUAAAAUGAAGUUUGAUCAUGAAACAGCUAGAGACAUUUCGGCCAGACUCUAUGCUCUAGAUAUGACAGAUUCCCAACAGACUUUGUCUAAGCAGCUUGUUUGGUCUGUGACCACCUGCAUUGAUGCCAAUUCAAGAAACGAGCUAAAAUCCUUAGUCAAGGGUCUCCUGUGCAGAAGCUCAGUCUAUGAAAAGGACUGUUCUGAUCUGAACAAGGUGGAUAUAUUUGCAAUAUGCCUGUCUUGUAUAAGUUCACUUGUUAGUUUGCUUGAGGAGGCAACUGCUACGAGUCCAUCUGUAAAAUUGGCUAAGAAAGAAGACCGGACCUUGAUUGACCGCAUAUCUAAGCAGGUUGACAACAUCAUAUGGCUGCUUGAAAUUUUGCUAGAUCACCAGAUGGCAGAGGACUUGGUGGAUAUAUGGACCAAACAAAGUCAGUUGCUUGCAAUGCAUAACUGUGCAUCUCCAUUGGUCAGAUACGAACUUAGCCGGGUGACAGCUAUGUUAUUCAUAGCAAUGGGCACUGGGAAAAUGCAUUGCCGCUCUGAAGCAAGGUCGGGGCUUCUUCAGACAUGGUUUAGACCAAUGCUGUUGGACUUUGGAUGGUUACAGAGAUGCAAAAAAGGCCUAGACAUGAAGGCAUUGGAGGAAGCGA
rnacentral:misc_RNA from 1 species